CUCCUCCUGGCCGUGCAGUCCGGAGAGCAGGGAUAGGUAGAGCAGCUGCAACAUUGCCACCAACAUGAGCGCGGCCAGCAGCAGCUGGUAGAAGGCACAUCGGAUGGCGUAGGACAUUUGCAUGGCUCUCGGGGAUCCCGGCACGAAGCAGGGACCACCGGGCUGUAGCCUCUGCCAGGCACCGCAAGCCCGGAUUUACCGCAGCCUUCCGAGCUCAGCCGAGGCCAGCCGAGGCCAGCCGAGCCUACGCGCAGCCCCGCCCACCAUCCGCUCUCCUCGGUGGAGGCGCGUGCCAGCUCGCCCUCUGUGAGAGAGGAGGAGCUACUGCAGCAGAGGCUGCUCGGCGCGCUCUUUGCAAACGCCGAUCUUAGCCGCGGUCUCGGCGCGCGGCCGGGGACCUCUGCACGCGUUUCUCUCCCUAGGGAACUGGACCCAGACCACCCACCCUCGCCUAACCCCCAGCCCUAGUGCGUCCUGAAACUUCCAUGCGCUCGCCUGGCGGCGGGGAAAGGAACCCCGGCAGAGGUUGGCCGCAUCACUGGCGUUGAUGACGCGGUUCCCGGUUGAAUCCUUCGUAGACGAAAAAUUAAAAAACCUCUUUGUUACUGUUUCUUCUUUGAACUUUUCCGGCUGAGAGGCAGAAUGAGCAGUGGUGGAUUCUUCCUCGCCAUAUGCAACGUGGCUACCAGCAAGACCUGGGUGCCAGGCACAUGGUGAGAGACACCAAGUAGCCAUUGGAAACAGCGAAGAGCAGCAUGAACGUGAUGAAGUAGGCAUCCUGCCAGAAGAUGAUGGGCAGCCGGGAACGCUGAGGCACAUGACACAGCAUGAAGAGUGGUACAAACAGGAAGCGCAGGCACACCAGCAGGGGCAGCAGCUGGCUGUCCUCAUCUGGCUGUGACAGAAGCUCAGUUACUUCCCAAACUUCUGGCUGGUUUAGCCCAGACAAGCUCACCCACAGGAAGUAGGAGGUCAGGCUCCGGCCCAGACAGUCCAUGACGUUGAAGAGCAGGAAGCAACAGAUAGGGUUGAAGAACUGAUCUGAGGAAGAGAGAGCUGGCAAUCAGCCCGAUCCCCGUCCACCCCCUUCCCUCACUCCCCCAGCCCCUGCUUUACCCCAGCACUCACCCCACUUUCCGGGGCUCUUAGAACUGGUGGUCACCAUGGCUGUGAUGGCAGGAAAGACCGACAGGGUGACUGUGAAGACCAACACAAGGCACAGCGCCGUCAGCCAGAUCUGGGAGCCGGAGGCAGGGGUGUGAGUGGGCAGGGAAGCCCCAUGUCCAUCAUGCAGCCCCCGCCCCAGCCCCGCUGCUGCAGCCCCACCCACUGUCUCCCUAAGCCACCAUGAGCCAAUGAACGGAGGGAAUAAGCACUAAGUUCCAAUUCUGGUCUGAGAGAGUCCCAGGGCUGGAGAAAAUCUCUGGGUGGUCAGUUAGAAGCCAUUGCUUAGCUGAACCUUCAAAAAGACAACGAACCUUCCGG